rnacentral:rRNA from 1 species
AUUGAACGCUGGCGGCAGGCCUAACACAUGCAAGUCGAACGAGUGGCGGACGGGUGAGUAAUGUCUGGGAAACUGCCUGAUGGAGGGGGAUAACUACUGGAAACGGUAGCUAAUACCGCAUACCAUCGGAUGUGCCCAGAUGGGAUUAGCUAGUGGGUGGGGUAAAGGCUCACCUGGGCGACGAUCCCUAGCUGGUCUGAGAGGAUGACCAGCCAAACUGGAACUGAGGUACGGUCCAGAGGCCUACGGGAGGCAGCAGAGGGGAAAAUGGGACAAGGGGCGAAAGCCUGAUGCAGCCCUGGCGCGUGUAUGAAGAAGGCCAUCGGGUUGUAAAGUACUUUCAGCGGGGAGGCGUUACCCGCAGAAGAAGCACCGGCUAACUCCGUGCCAGCAGCCGCGGUAAUAC